rnacentral:rRNA from 1 species
AAGCAAUUGGAGGGCAAGCUUUGGUGCCAGCAGCCGCGGUAACUCCAACUCCAAGAGUGUCUAUGGUGGAUGCUGCAGUUAAAGGGUCCGUAGUCGUGAAUGCAAUUAAAUGUCGUUGUUCAAUAGCGAUGAGUUUGCUAAUGUUUGCGGAACGGAUAGGGAGUGUAGUAUAGACUGGCGAAGAAUGAAAUCUCAAGACCCAGUUUGGACUAACGGAGGCGAAGGCGACACUCUUAGACGUAUCUUAGGAUCAAGGACGAAGGCAGGAGUAUCGAAAGUGAUUAGACACCGCUGUAGUUCCUGCAGUAAACUAUGCCGACAGCCUGUGUGUGAGAAUACGUGGGCGGGAGAAAUCUUAGUGUUCGGGCUCUGGGGAUAGUACGCUCGCAAGGGUGAAACUUAAAGCGAAAUUGACGGAAGGACACUACCAGGAGUGGAUUGUGCUGCUUAAUUUAACUCAACGCGGGAAAACUUACCAGGGUCAAGUCAUUCGUUGAUCGAAUACGUGAGAAUGGCAGGAGUGGUGCAUGG